rnacentral:lncRNA from 1 species
GAAAGAAAAACAGUAACUUUACAAAUACUAUCUCAAGCCAGGUGAUCAAGGUUAACAUCAACAGUGAUAAGUCAUAAUGAUAGUAUGUACCCUUCAAAUUAUAUGAUGAGAAUGCCAUCUUACCUCUCUGUCUUCCUCCCAAAAACAUAUUAACCAUGAGGAAAACAUCAAAUUCCAGUUAAAGGAGAUUCUACAAAAUAGGCCUGACCAGUAAUCUUCAAAAUUGUGAAGAUCACCAAAAUUGUCAAGAUCACCAAAAAUCUGAAAAACAGUCACAGUCCAGGGGAGCCUAAGGAGGAUAAGAACUAAAUGUGGUCCCAGACAAGAUCCUGGAACAGAAAAUGAACACUAAGGGAAAACUAAGGAAAUAUGAACAAGGAGAUUCCAUGAAAGGAGAGAGGCUGGCACAGCUGGUUGUUCUAUGGCCAUGAGGAGAAGCAUGACAAGAGAGAAGAGAUGCCACUAGAUGAAAAGAACUCUCCAGAGAAGAGUGGAGGCCCAAACUGGGAAGUUAGCUGUAGCAGCUGAUGUCACAAAGCCUGGCUGAGGACCAAAGAGAAACAGGUUCGUUUGGAAGUUCGUAUCUGAGCAGACUGGCUCAACCAGAAGUCCAGAAAAGUGUGGACCAGCUUCAACAGGACAGCACUAACACAGACUACUGCAGUCUCUGCACAGAGAGGCCUAAAGGAGAGGUCACAGCAGUACUCUGCAGGUAAAUGGCUGCUACAGAAUGAACUCAGAUGGGAUAUGAAGCAAUGGACCCAGAAAUCCCAGCCAACACGUGAUAUUGCAAUAUUCCAUCAUUUACUAUCACACUGGACCUCACUGAUGCAGAAGUUUCCAUUAGGCGCCAAGUCAAAAGAGAUCACAAAAGAAAAGACAAGAAGGGUGCUCAAGAGCAACUAGAGGCAAGUGCUCUACUGUGGCUGCCCUCCUUCCUAAGAGGUGAAGGAUGGACAGUUUGUCAACAGAGUUGUGGUCAAACUUUUGGAAUUUUGCCAAUCUGAUCAUGAGAAAUGCUAUCUGGAUGUAAUCUACAUUACUCUACAAGUCAAGUUGAGCAUCUUUUCAUAGUAUUAUAAGCCAUUUGUGGCAAUAAUUCUUCAUAUUUCUGGUUGUAAGUCAAGGGUCUACUGCUGAACAGUCUAAGAAAGAACAUAUAUAUCUGGAAUAGAGAAGAUGAGAAACAUUUAAGGUGAUCUAGUAGUGAAAAGAGCCAUAAAAUACAAGCAAAGAAUACCAGCCCCCAGUAGCAAGAAAAUGUAAGUUUUUAAAAGACACCAUUGGGUCGAUUGGAAGCAGCUCCAGUCCGUGGUGCUCAGAGAAAGGAAUGAAAGGAGCAAGUGAAUUCAGCAACUUCAACUGAGAUAUCUGAGUUCUCACAUUGGGACUGACCAGGCAAACAGCUCAACCCACAGACAGCAAAGAGAAGCAGGAUGGGGCAGUGGCCCAUCCAGGAGCUGCACGGAGCCAAGGGAACCCCAACCCCCAGCCAAGGAAAGCAGUGAGUGAUUGUGCAGCCCUGCCUGGGAAACCAUGCUUCUCCCAUGGAUCUUUGCAACUCACGUAUCAGGAGAUCCCCUCAUGAGCCCACACCACCAGGGAUUUGGGUCCAAUACAGAGAGCUGUGUGGAAUCUCAGCAGAGCAGCCACUCAGGGAGUGGCUCAGCCACACACAGAGACCCAGGAGUUUUGCAUACUCUGGCCCCGGCAUCCAUGGCAAGGUGGGAGAUCCAUCCAUGCAUGUCCCUAGGAAGGGGGCUGAGUCAGGGGCCAACUGGCAUCAUUCUUCGGGCCCCACUUUCACAGCACCACGUGGAUUGAGACCCACUGGCUUGCAAUUCCAGCUGGCUGGUGGCAGCAGGCUGGAGUCAUCCUGAGUCAGGAUGGUGUUCCCAGAGGGGAGGACCAGCCACCAUCCCUGUGGUUUGGUAGACUCCGUCAUUUCAGCCUGGUGGCUUUGAAGAAUACAGGCGGUCCAGAGAAGGAGGGUUCCCCCAUAGCACAGCUGCCUUGCCAGAUCGUGGCCAGACUUCUUCUUUAAGCAGGACCCUGAUCCAUUCCUCCUCACUGGGCAAGACCUCCUUGUGGGGGCUUCAGCCACUCCAGCAAGGGUUCUACAGAGAGAGCUCUGAUCUCUCCCUACUACAAAGCUCCCAGGGGGAGAGGCGGCCACCAUCUCUGCAGUUUGGUAGACUUAGCUGUUCCAGCCUGCUGGCUUUGUAGUAUACAAAUGAUCUGAAUGAGGAAUGGUA